rnacentral:lncRNA from 1 species
GUAGAAUGAAGUCACAAAUUAAUAUAUAUGGGGCCACAAAUAUCUGUAAAUUCAUCAAACUAGAAGUCAACCAAAAAUAUUGGGUCCCAAAGCCCACAAAUCAGUUCAAGCAUUAAUGGUUAAUACAUAUCCUUCCCAAAAAACAGAGUACUAGAUUUCUAAACUAAAGUAUAGAUUGCACCACCAAUGUCAGACUUCAACCAUCUCUAUCAUUAUAUCCAACAGCCUCCUCAUGAUCAAUAUCAAAUUGGACUGCAUUGAAAAUAAAGCAUUAUAUGCAUUAGAAUAGACUUUAGUCAGAAAAUAUGCUAUUACAACCUUAUACGACUAAAUUUGAAUGAAUAGUCAUACACAACAAUGCUUUAAGAUUCUUCGAAUUAGUUUGGGUAUCUUGGUUUGGUUUUUGUACACAUACUUCAAAUAAUUUUACAAUUUGAAGUGAUAUUUACUUUUCAGAAUUUCCAAUGCAUCCUGACCAUGUUUCUUGUAUAUGCUUUCUUUUUGAGUUUGCAAACAAGGCGCAAAUGAAAGUAAGAGGACAUAGAGGUGCUGAUCCUAUUUUUGAUGAAAUUUUGGUUACAAUUAAUUUAUAUGUGAUCAUAUAUAGUCAAAUGUUUAUAAAUGAGAGCAUUUUCUUUUAGCUACUACUUUUGGUUAUUGAGUUUGUGAUAAAAAUAACUGAAUUCCAAUAUAUAACUCAACUUUGACAUCUAUUUCUAGGUAAAAAAACAGGAUCAAAAGGAUUUGUGGCUGUUUUAAAACAAUAUUGGGAACUUAAAAUAAUUUUCAUAUUAAAACAACAUGGUCCAGUUUUCAAAGAAAGAAAAUGGUCCAAGUAACUUAAACCACAAUGAGAAAAAUAACUUGGAAAAGUUCUUGCCUUUGAAUGUUAAAUGUCUAAGCAGUUAACAAGUUGUGUAUAAUCUAAAAUAUUGGAAAGUCAAUUGCAUAAUUGCACUUUAUUUGUAAUAUCUACAGAUAUGCUCAAAGAGGAACAAGGGAAUCAACAUGUAUUUUCUAAUAUUCUUUGUGGAAAAAACAUAUGAAAGAGAGUAAGCAUCACCUUCUGACAAUGUGAAAUAGCCUCUAAGUUAUGUUCCUGCUCUUCAAUUAAUCUUCUCUCAAGCUCCUUAACCUAAAAAUGGAGAAGAGAACUGGUUAUUUAAGCUUCUCUAGCCACCAGUUGAAGCAUGAAAUGGUGCUGAUGUUGCUGGUUGGAUGAACAACCUUUUGUUGAGAAUCAAAGGGAGGCUGAUGUUGCUGAAGCCAUUGCUCUUCUAGCUACCAGAAAGGCUGGAUGGGCUUAGCAGGCAAAGAUGGCUGAAGUGGAGGCUGAAAAAGCUGCAGCUAUUAGGGAGGCAGAGUUACAAAAAAGAAGUUGAGAGGAAAAAUGCAUUGGCCAAGAUUGAGCAACUAAAGGCUAAACAACUCAGCAAGGCUACUGUUGAUUAUGAGAUUAAGGUUCAAGAGGCAAAUUAUGUUCUCUACAAGAAGCAAAAGGAAUAUGAGGCAGUGCUAUACAAGAGACAAAAGGCUGUAGAAGCUCAAAAAGUGGCAGCAGAAGCUCAACUAUAUGCAGUUCAACAAGCUGUAGAUGCAGAACUUUAUGCAAAAAGAGAGAAGCUAAAGGAAUGAAGGCUCUUGCAGAAGCACAAGGAUUCAAAAUCCGCACCUUAUUGACAUCAUUGGGUUGAAGCUACAAUGCUUUAAGAGAUUAUCUGAUGAUUGAAAGUGGCAUGUUCAAGGACAUUGCCAAAAUCAAUGCUGAGGCGAUCCAAGGACUACAACCUAAGAUUAGUGUUUGGUCAAAUGGAGAGGCCAGAGAUGGAUCAGGUA